UGUUUCGGCUAGGGGGUCAUCCCGACUUACCAACCCGAUGCAAACUACGAAUACCGAAGAAUGUUAUCACGGGAGACACACGGCGGGUGCUAACGUCCGUCGUGAAGAGGGAAACAACCCAGACCGCCAGCUAAGGUCCCAAAGUCAUGGUUAAGUGGGAAACGAUGUGGGAAGGCCCAGACAGCCAGGAUGUUGGCUUAGAAGCAGCCAUCAUUUAAAGAAAGCGUAAUAGCUCACUGGUCGAGUCGGCCUGCGCGGAAGAUGUAACGGGGCUAAACCAUGCACCGAAGCUGCGGCAGCGACACUAUGUGUUGUUGGGUAGGGGAGCGUUCUGUAAGCCGUUGAAGGUGGCCUGUGAGGGUUGCUGGAGGUAUCAGAAGUGCGAAUGCUGACAUAAGUAACGAUAAUGCGGGUGAAAAACCCGCACGCCGGAAGACCAAGGGUUCCUGUCCAACGUUAAUCGGGGCAGGGUGAGUCGACCCCUAAGGCGAGGCCGAAAGGCGUAGUCGAUGGGAAACAGGUUAAUAUUCCUGUACUUGGUGUUACUGCGAAGGGGGGACGGAGAAGGCUAUGUUGGCCGGGCGACGGUUGUCCCGGUUUAAGCAUGUAGGCGGAUGUUCCAGGUAAAUCCGGAACGUUAUUAACGCUGAGGUGUGAUGACGAGGCACUACGGUGCUGAAGUGACAAAUGCCCUGCUUCCAGGAAAAGCCUCUAAGCAUCAGGUAACAUCAAAUCGUACCCCAAACCGACACAGGUGGUCAGGUAGAGAAUACCAAGGCGCUUGAGAGAACUCGGGUGAAGGAACUAGGCAAAAUGGUGCCGUAACUUCGGGAGAAGGCACGCUGAUGGUA
rnacentral:rRNA from 1 species